GACACUUUGGCGGAGUGGUUAACGCGCAGCCCUGCUAAGGCUGUGACUUAGGUCGCGCAGGUUCGAAUCCUGCAGGUGUCG
rnacentral:tRNA from 2 species